CAGCAAAUUCCCCCAUCGUCAAGCCUUCAAAGUCGUCAUUCGGGUCACCAUUAAAGUUACCACACAGGCCUUCACUAUGUCUAUGCUUGUCGUCCGGAUCUUUUUGCUCAUAAUAAGGUUCAGGAGCUUUUAUUAUAAUAUCUAGAGAUUUGCUGUGCCAACUUCGUGUAGUAGUGACGGUUAUUCCAGACGGUAAAUGGACCUUUUUUCACAAAAGAAUGGGAAUAGUUAUUUUUUACAAUCCAUAAUUCAUAAAGCUUGGUUCACAUAUGCCUGCGCUCAGGGCCGGAUCUAGG